rnacentral:rRNA from 1 species
ACGUAGGGCGCAAGCGUUGUCCGGAAUUAUUGGGCGUAAAGAGCUCGUAGGCGGUUUGUCGCGUCUGCUGUGAAAGCCCGGGGCUCAACCCCGGGUCUGCAGUGGGUACGGGCAGACUAGAGUGCAGUAGGGGAGACUGGAAUUCCUGGUGUAGCGGUGAAAUGCGCAGAUAUCAGGAGGAACACCGAAGUCGGAAGGCAGGUCUCUGGGCUGUUACUGACGCUGAGGAGCGAAAGCAUGGGGGAGCGAAACAGGAAUUAGAUACCCCGGGUAGUCCA